GGUCACACAGCCUACUAAGUCAUAAACUCUUGGAUGCCAACUUGGGGGCAGCAGGCAGAACUGGAAACAGAAUGUUCAGUGUCCCCCAAGGUCCCAGACGACCUGCAUUCCUGUGGGUGAGGCCUUCUUUAGUGAAGAGUCCCAAGAAAACCCAGUGUCUGGGAAAGGUUGAGUCAUGAAUAGAGUGAGAGAAGUAAACAGAGCUCUGCUUCUGAGUCAGGCCAUGGGUAAAGUCCCAGUCCCUCUGCUCAUUAUCUGAGUAACUGAGCCUAGUUUUCUCUCCUAUAAAGAGAGAGGGACAUUAAUACCGACUAAAUGUGACUGUUGGGGAAGACAGUGAUCUAAGCAUGAAAUCCAAAUCACCGGAAACAGGAACUCUCUAGUCACAAACUCCUAACAACAGAAUGCAGCUCCAAAAGCCAGGGCCACAAUGUAUGUAUGCGCACAGUUGAGCCACAUCUGGGACCACAGUGGUCUUCCAGAUGGAAUUUCCACCCAAAUUAAAGGUCAACAAUUUCUGUUGUAA
rnacentral:lncRNA from 1 species